GAGGGUAAUUAUGAUUGAGUGUGAUGAAUGCUUAGGAGGGUUUCAUUUGAAGUGUUUGAAGCCACCUUUAAAGGAGGUUCCUGAAGGAGAUUGGAUUUGUAUGUAUUGCGAGGCGAAGAAAUUAGGGAAAAUAAUGGAAAUGCCUGCACCACCCAAGGGGAAGAAACGGGUAAGGACUGCUAAGGAGAAGUUACUUGACAGUGAUCUGUGGGCAGCUCGUAUUGAGAGUAUAUGGAAAGAAGUGGAUGGUACAUAUUGGUUCCGGGCACAUUGGUAUAUUAUUCCUGAGGAAACAGAUGCAGGAAGACAGCCACAUAACUUAAGGAGAGAACUUU
rnacentral:misc_RNA from 1 species